GGAGAACCUGCGGCUGGAUCACCUCCUUUCUAUGGAGAAAUCUAGCAAACAUGGCGUUUGACUAGUACAAAGAUGCAAAGCAUCUAUAAAAAUUACAACUUGCUCAAAGGUUACUUAAUAGAUAUUAAUAUCUGUUCAAUUUUGAGGGAUCUUCCUUCAAAAUACUCAUGGGGGUAUAGCUCAGUUGGGAGAGCACCUGCCUUGCACGCAGGGGGUCAAGAGUUCGAAUCUCUUUAUCUCCACCAUGAGGGCUUAUAGCUCAGCUGGUUAGAGCGCACGCCUGAUAAGCGUGAGGUCGAUGGUUCGAGUCCAUUUAAGCCCACCAUAUUGUUCUUUGAAAAUUGCAUAUUAACAAUUGUAUAUAAUACAACAAAGCCAAGAAUAAAUAUUCUUUGUGAAUGAUUAAUAUAACCAGUUUUGUAUAUCAAAACUUAAAAAGGUCAAGCUACAAAGGGCGCAUGGUGAAUGCCUUGGCAUCAGGAGCCGAUGAAGGACGUGAUAAGCUGCGAUAAGCUUCGGGUAGGCGCACAUAGCCAGAGAUCCGGAGAUUU
rnacentral:misc_RNA from 1 species